rnacentral:rRNA from 1 species
UUCUCGAGCGAGUGGCGAACGGGUGAGUAACGCGUGAGGAACCUGCCUCAAAGAGGGGGGACAACAGUUGGAAACGACUGCUAAUACCGCAUAAGCCCACAGGUCGGCAUCGACCAGAGGGAAAAGGAGCAAUCCGCUUUGAGAUGGCCUCGCGUCCGAUUAGCUAGUUGGUGAGGUAACGGCCCACCAAGGCAACGAUCGGUAGCCGGACUGAGAGGUUGAACGGCCACAUUGGGACUGAGACACGGCCCAGACUCCUACGGGAGGCAGCAGUGGGGAAUAUUGCACAAUGGGGGAAACCCUGAUGCAGCGACGCCGCGUGGAGGAAGAAGGUCUUCGGAUUGUAAACUCCUGUUGUUGAGGAAGACAAUGACGGUACUCAACAAGGAAGUGACGGCUAACUACGUGCCAGCAGCCGCGGUAAAACGUAGGUCACAAGCGUUGUCCGGAAUUACUGGGUGUAAAGGGAGCGCAGGCGGGAAGACAAGUUGGAAGUGAAAUCUAUGGGCUCAACCCAUAAACUGCUUUCAAAACUGUUUUUCUUGAGUAGUGCAGAGGUAGGCGGAAUUCCCGGU